UACAGAGGGUACGAGCGUUAAUCGGAAUUACUGGGCGUAAAGCGCGUGUAGGCGGCUAUGUAAGUCGGGCGUGAAAUCCCACGGCUCAACCGUGGAAGUGCACCCGAAACUGCGUAGCUAGAGUCCUGGAGAGGAAGGUGGAAUGCUUGGUGUAGAGGUGAAAUUCGUAGAUAUCAAGCGGAACACCGGUGGCGAAGGCGGCCUUCUGGACAGUGACUGACGCUGAGACGCGAAAGCGUGGGGAGCAAACAGG
rnacentral:rRNA from 1 species